AUCGAACGCUGGCGGCAGGCCUAACACAUGCAAGUCGAACGAGUGGCGGACGGGUGAGUAAUGUCUGGGAAACUGCCUGAUGGAGGGGGAUAACUACUGGAAACGGUAGCUAAUACCGCAUACCAUCGGAUGUGCCCAGGUGGGAUGAGCUAGUCGGUGGGGUAAAGGCUAACCGAGGCGACGAUCCCUAGCUGGCCUGAGAGGUUGACCGGCCACACUGGAACUGAUACACGGCCCAGACUCCUACGGGGGGCAGCAGUGGGGAAUCUUGCACAAUGGGCGCAAGCCUGAUGCAGCCAGGCCGCGUGUGUGAAGAAGGCCUUCGGGUCGUAAAGCACUUUCAGCGAGGAGGCGUUACCCUCAGAAAAAGCACCGGCUAACUCCGUGCCAGCAGCCGCGGUAAUAC
rnacentral:rRNA from 1 species